AUUGAAUUAGCAACAACACUUGGGAUUGAAGUGCUAAAUUGAAAAUGGCACUUUUCUGGCACUUUUUGAGCAAAAAAAGGUGAUAAAAUGUUAUUAGUGAGAAGUGAAGAUGAUUACAAAAAUAAAAUCUUAUAUUGAGUCUGCGCUCCACUUCUCAUUAAGUAUUAAAAGUGAUUUGUUAAAUCUUGAGCAAUAUUUUUAUGUUUGUUAAAAUAAAAGCGAACAAAAAUAAAAAUAUUGGAGGGAUUUUAAUGAAUGAAAAAGAAAAAAUUGAUUUUG
rnacentral:sRNA from 12 species